GGAAGGCUGGAGGCACUCCUCCAAUGGGAACCUUGAAGCCUUCGGUAGAGGUGGAGACUGGUGACCCCGCUCCAGCUCGAGCCAGAGGGAGGGAAGCAUCCAGUGUAUUCGCGAGAUCCUGCUGCGGGCCCCUGGCGUCACUUGGCCUACUGGCAGAGCAGAAGGCCCGGGUGUCGGGCCAGCGGGUGCCAGAGGAUCCUGCAGGUGGCAAAGGGAGGGCGAAUGCUCCAGCGGCCCCUAGAGGGCAACCAGAACAUACAUCAUUAUUAGAACCAUCAAGCUGCAGCUAGCUUGGACAUCAUUAAAAGGGCUCAUCAGCUACAAAUGGAUACAAGUAUCUGACAUUUAUGAAGACAGAGUUUCAGGACUUCUACCUGGAGCUACACCCUCUAGAAGUCCCCGGUUGGCCUCCCCGCACCCAAUCCCAUCCCAACCAGUCACAACUUGGGCUGUGCAUGGUGUUUCUUGGAAACUGGAACACAGACUCUUCCAGCAGCUCCACAGUUCCCUUGUCCUCAAUAAGCAGAAGAUUGCAGAAGCUGACUGCUGAAGAGGUCUUCCAAGCAAUAGAACACCUCCUUGGCCCUGCCUAGCACAUUUAUCACAGAGCAGUAACUGAGUGCUGAGUGUUACUCAUUUGUGCUUACCACCUGCAGGGACUGCAAGGGAUUUGUCACACCCACUUCACUAAGGGCCACCCUCUAAGGAUUUCUAGAAGAGGUUUACUUUAGAAAGGUGGUCUUCUUAGUGUCUCCAUUGCCUCAGAUCCUACUUGAACACCUCUAGGGCCAAGGGGAUCCAUAUCUCUUCACCUACCUGUAGCCCACAUACUAACUGGAAAACUGCUUGCUAUUUUUUGUUUAUCUCUUUGUUCUUUUAGUGUGAAGAGUUUUAACUAUUGACUCAAUUCCUCAAUGGGACUAUUGAGGAUUUCUUUUUCUUCUUGAGUCAAUUUUGGUAAGAUAUCAUUUCCUAGGAAUUAGUCCAUUUUGUCUAUGUUUUCAAAGUCAUUGGCAUAAAUUUCCUUUAUUUAUUCUCUGCUGUAUAAAAUCUGUAGCAAUGUUUCCUUUUUCAUUGCUAAUAUUGGUUAUGUGUGCCUUCUCACUUUUUUUCUUGAUCAAUCUCUCCAGAGGUUUGUCUAUUUUAUUAGUCUUUUCAAAGAACCAACUUUUGGCUUUGUUGCUCCUCUCUAUUGUGUCUUUGUUUUCUAUUUCUUUAAUUUCUGCUCUUAUCUUUUUUGAUCUCCUCCCUUCCACAUUUUUUGGGUUUAUUCUGUUGUUCUUUUUCUGAUUUCUUAAAUUGGAAAUGAGCUCAUUAACUUUUAGUCUUUUUGUUUUCUAAUUUAUACAUUUAAAGAUGUAAAUUUCCCACUAAAUACUGCUUUUAUACUAGUUCAGAUAAGUAGUAUUUCAUUACUGUUCAGUUGUUUCAAAUGUUUCAACAUUUUCAUUAUAGUUACUUCUUUGACCCAUGAGUUAUAUAAAAAUAUGUUUAAAUUUACAAAUGUUUAGGGAUUUUAAAUUCUGUCUCUUUGUUAUUGAAAUCUACCUUACUUCAUUAUGGUCAGAUAAUGUGAUUCAUGUGAUAACAACUCUUUGAAAUUUAAUGAAACUUGUCUUAUGGCUUAGUACAUGAUCAAUAUUUUUGAAUGUUUCCUAUGUGCUUUAUAAAAAUGUGUGUUCUCUAAUUGUUGGAUACAAAGUUCUGCAUGUAUCUAUUAUCAAGUUUAUUAGCUGUGUUCAAAUUUUAUUUAUCUAAACCUGUUCUUUGGUCAUGAUCUACCAGUAAUUUUAAGAAGUAUGGUAAUCUUCAACUAUGAUGGUGGAUUUAUCAAUUUCUCUCUAUAGUUCUAUCACUUUUUUUGCCUUAUGUAUUAACUACGUCCAAAUUUUAUUUAAACUGGUUCUUUGGUCAUGAUCUACCAGUAACUUUAAAAGGUAUAGUGAUAUUUAACUAUGAUGGUGGAUUUGUCCAUUUCUCUUUGUAGUUCUAUCAUUUUUUGCCUUAUAUAUUGUGAGGAUAUUUUAUUAGGAAUAUUAAAAUGAAUAAUGUUAUAUAUUCCUGGUAAAUAUGUAAUACCCCUCUAUUCCUGAUAAUACCCUUUUCUCUGUUAAUGUAGCAGCACAAGCUUGUUGUUAGGAUUUGUAUGAUAUAUAAUUUUACAUUCUUUUACUUUUUAGAAUUCACAUGCUUUUAUUCUUUUUUAACUUUAUUCUUUUAUUAGUACAUAUUUGUCAUACAUAUUGAUCACAUUCAUCAUAGGGAAUUUGUACCUGUAAAAACUAGAACUAAAGGUUACUUUCUUAUGUUUCUUGAAAAUGCAGUGGCGUAUAGCUGGACCUUUAAAAAUGUACAAUCUGGUGACCUCUGUCUUUUAAUUGGCAGGUUUAGUCUGUUUAUAUUUACUGUGAUUUAAAAUUUUUUUACCACCACAUUUUCUUAUUUUAGUUAUUAACCAUGAACUUUUGUAUUCUUCAUUUUUUUUUGACAGUCUUCCUAAGUCCCUAAAUUGCCCAAGGUGAGCUGGAACUUGUAGUCCUCCUGCCUCAGCCUCCCAGAGUAUUGGGAUUACAGGUACAUGCCACCUCAUCCAGCUUUGUUUUCUUGUUCUGUUUUUUUCCUUUUGUUUGAGUUUCAUUUUUUAUUCUUUCUGAGGUUGUUCUUGAAAUUUUACCUUGUAUGUUUAACUUACAAGUUUAAAGUUAAACAAUGUUUAAUCCCCUCUUGAAGAAUGCAGGAAGCCUGGAAAUCUUCAACUUUAGUCAUUCCUUUCCUAACCACAUACUGUUGUUUUUCAAGUAUGUUAGUUUUGUUUUUUCCUUUUUUCCUAACUUCACAUUUACACAUAAUCAUCAGUACUAUUUUAUAUAGGCAGGAUUUGUUUGACUUUACAUGCAUACAUUCUUGCAUCUCAGAUUAUCAUUCUUGGAUUGUUUUCUUUCAUUAUGAAUACAGUGUUUAAAUGUUCUUUUUGUGUAGGUCUCUUGGUGUUAAAUUCUUCAAGUCUGUGUUAUAUGUAAAUGUCUUUUCAUUUCUUUCUUUUUUUUUUUUUUUUUUUUGGUACCGGGGAUCAAACUUGGGACCUUGCGCUUGAGAGGGAGGCAGCGGAACCACUGAGCUAAAUCCCUGGCCCUAUAUGUAAAUGUCUUUAUCCUCCUCCUUAAAAAGAUAAUAUUUUGUGGGUAUUGUCACUCAACCCUUAGAAUAUAUGAUCUAAUUCUCUUUUGGCUUUGGGAAGUCUGCUUUGUUGCCAUUUAAAAGUGUAUUAUGAGUUAUAUUGCUGUUGUUGUUGUUGGGGUGGAAUGUGCAGGGGGUCUUGCAGUUUCUUACAUGUUUGAGAAUGAUGGUUCAGAAAAUUCAGUUUUUAAUAAUUUCUGGAAAAUUCUCAACCAUUACUUCCUUAAAUAUUGCCUCUCUUUCAUUCUAUUUUUUCUUUCUCAGAAUCCAGUUAGUCAUAUUUUAAACUCCUUUAUUCUAUCUUUUGUAUGUCAUAACGUCUUUGAUGUUUUCUAUCAUCUUGUCUUCUUGUACUUCAUUUGGGGCAAUUCCUUCUGAUAUAUCAUUCAGUUUACCAAUUCUCUCUUCACCUAUGUCUAAUCUGUUGUUUAAUCUUUCCAUUGAAUUUUUUUUACAAAAAUUGCACUUUCAUUUGCACAAGCUUUCUAAUGUGAUUAUUCAGCCCUGAUAGUCUCCUGUUGCUUGCUGUUCUUUGUGAUUUUAUCUAUUACUUCUUUAUUUUGUAUAAUUUCUGUUCAACCAGUUCUCACUCUUUGACACUGUAAAUAUUGUUCACAUCUAGGCCACAAAAUACACUCUGAGUACAUAUUCUUCAUUGCAUACAUUUUUGUUUUCCUAGGAGCUGAUAAUUGUGUUUUGUUUUCUUCUAACUAGUGUUAUGUAAUAAUACCCAUUACUAAUUCUUCUCUGAAAUUCUUUUUUUUUUUUUUUUUUUUUUUGGUACCGGGAAUUGAACUCAGGUCCUCGCACUUGCGCAGCAGGCACCAAAACCACUGAGCUAAAUCCCUGGCCCUGAAAUUCUUUUUAAAAUCCAAAUCAGAUUGUGUCCCUCUUCUACUCAAAAUUAUCCCAUGGCUUCUAGCUCCCUCAGAACAAAAGCCAGAACUUUCACCAUAGCCCAAAUGUUCCUUCAUAAUCUGGUUCCCUUCACCUCUCUGACCUCAUCUCCUGUCACUUUCCCUAUCACUCACUCUUCUCCAGCCACCCAGCCUCCUUCCUGCCCCUCAAGCAUGCUGGUACCUUCCCUCUUCAGGGCCUUUGUUCUUGGUAUUCUUCCUGCCCGGAACAUCUUUCCUCCCACAUAAUCUGAUGACUUGCUGAAGUAUUUCCAUUAUCUUCAAAUGUCACCUCCCUGAUCAACAUACAUAAAGUAGCCCCCUUCACCUCCAUUCUCUAUCUCCUUACCCUGUUGUAUAUGUGAUAUUUUUCUAUAGCUCUGAUCACCACCUGAUUGAUUGAUUGAUUAUUGUGGUUAGUGUUUGUCUGUCCCCAAUAGACUGUAAGCUCCUCAAAGCAGGGAUUUCUGUUUUGUUCACUGCUGUAUCCCCAGUGCCAAAAAGAAUAGUGCAUAGCAAUUCAAUAAAUAUUUGUGGAAUAAACUGAAUGAAUGCGUGAAUGCCUUAAUUGAUGUGAAGGAUAAAGAGAGAAAUGCCUCGAAAAGUAGGGCAGGCUGGAAGACUUUUAAUGCCAUGCUAAGGAGCUUGGAUGCCAUUGUUCAGAAGAGUAGGGGCUGAGAAGAAACAGUGAGGACUGCUCCUGGGCUCUUUUCGGAAACAAGUUCUCAGGUGGUAAAACAGUGACAAAGCCCCAUGUUCUCUGUGACUGACUCUGUACUCAUAGGCUUGUGAAAAUGGGCUUGUUGUCUUACCAGCCUGUUACUUAGUGAAAAACAAGGCCUACCUCUCACUGGGAUCGCUUCUCUUGGAGUGUGAGGAACUGUUUCUUAGCCCCCAGGCCAAGCAGAUAGCUCCCAUUAGACUUUUAUCUGUGCACUUGAGGGGAAGGGAUAGUAUAAAGCUGUUAUAAUGUGUGGUACAUAGUAAAUGCUGUUAAAAUGAUGAAGACCACAGGAAGGUAAGUUUUGAUCAAAAGGACUUUUUUCCAUUUUCAGAGUGGGAUUUUUAGUCCUGACUUUGCUCCUAACCCCCUUGGGGACUAGCCUGGGUCCAGUGUUAUUCCUUUCUGUGACUUUGGAUACUAAUUCUGUUUUCUAACAUGUGACCUACUUUUUUUGCACUCAUUAAUUUCAUCAGAGUGCCAUCUGUAUACACACAGCCUUGUGGCAUGCCUCAAGAGACUUCCCUCUCCGGGCCAACAUCAGUUCAUUAAUCAUUUUCACCUUGGGUUUAACCAUCCAACUAGUUACAAGCUCAGCUGAACAUUGUUUGACUGACCACUUGCUAUGUUUUAGACCUUCUGCUCCACACUGAAGACACAGGGCUGAGCCAGGUGUGUUCCCAGACACAGCACCAUAAUUUCAGGACAGUGAGGUCCAUGCAGUAACAGUGGUCAUUGCAGUAAGCUGUGAGAGCCCCUAAGGACCACACAGCCAGAUCAGGAGGCCAGGAAGCUUUCUUGGAAGAGAUGGCAUGUGAACUAAGUCUUAAAAGAUAAGUAGAAAUCAUCCAGUUGAUUAACAAGGGAUGAAAUGGUAAUCUAGGCAAAGGCUACACCAUGGGCAGUGACCCAAGGACAGGAAGUGACAUGGUAUGGACUACCCUGCCUCAUUACAUUCACAGCUCACCUGACUUUCACAAGACCAUCAUAAGACACUUUUUAAAAAUUUUUUGUUGAGACAAGGUCUUAGUGAGUUGCCCACACUGGCCUUGAAUUCAUGAUCCUCCUGCCUCAGCCUCCCAAGUUGCUGGAAUGACAGAUGUGGGCCACUGUACCCAGUGUAGGAGACUUUGAGACAUACCAAAAUCCAGACAUGAGUUUGUGGGGCCUCCCCAAUAUGCCUAUCUAGCAGUUAUUCAGAAAAUUAUUGAAGAGCUGGUCUGACAUGACUAUCCGUGAAGUUGUCUAUACUAGUUUCUGGCAUCCCUGGCUUUCUUUUCUAGAAGGAAGUAUUCUGGGAUUCCAGUCACUCCCAUUGUCCAGGAAGUUAUAGGGUCUCCCUCAGCCCCUGUGUGUGGAGAGGAGUUUUCUGAUUUGAAAUUUUACUAUACAGAUUUAACCUGAAAUCUAAAGCUAAACAUUAUCAUAAUCCUCACCAAACAUGAGGACUUUAUAAAACUUUGAUGUCUCCCAACUUACACAUUCUUGUGACUAUUUUAUUUACUGUUUUAAGGAAAACAUUAACACCAAAAAAUAUUAACAGCCUCAUUAUUUUAUGCAGACAGUAUUCUUUUAGUUUUAAAUAUUAGUCAUUUUAUUUGCCCAUGUGUCUUCUUAAACCUCAGACUUCCCUUUUGUGGAUGAAUUUUCUUCUGGAAAUGUAUACCUUAGACGAUCCUAUAGCACAAUCACUUAAUAAGAAACUCUCAGUGUGUAUUUAUCUAUAAAUGCCUUUUGAAACUUUAUUUUUCUUAAGACAGAUUUGUUGGAUACCCAAUUCUAAACUACCUCUUUUCCUCCUUAACACUUAUUACACUGUCUUCUGGUUUCCAUUAUUACCAGUGCAAAGGUUUAUUAGUCUAAUUGUCUUUGUAGAUGUCCUUUUAUCUCCAGCUGCUUUGAAGAGUAUUUAAUUAUUGCUUAACUCUAAGAAUUUUUUCUUUCUUCUCUGCAUGUUCCUUUUUGUAGCUUCCUGAGCUUGCUUUAUGAAUGUAAUAUUUUUUCCUGGUUACU